AGCGAACGCUGGCGGCAGGCUUAACACAUGCAAGUCGAGCGGGCACUUCGGUGUCAGCGGCAGACGGGUGAGUAACACGUGGGAACGUACCCUUUGGUUCGGAAUAACGCUGGGAAACUAGCGCUAAUACCGGAUACGCCCUUUUGGGGAAAGGCUUGCUGCCGAAGGAUCGGCCCGCGUCUGAUUAGCUAGUUGGUGGGGUAAUGGCCUACCAAGGCGACGAUCAGUAGCUGGUCUGAGAGGAUGAUCAGCCACACUGGGACUGAGACACGGCCCAGACUUCUACGGGAGGCAGCAGUGGGGAAUAUUGGACAAUGGGCGCAAGCCUGAUCCAGCCAUGCCGCGUGAGUGAUGAAGGCCUUAGGGUUGUAAAGCUCUUUUGUCCGGGACGAUAAUGACGGUACCGGAAGAAUAAGCCCCGGCUAACUUCGUG
rnacentral:rRNA from 1 species